CGAAAGUGCGGGUAUCGAACAGGAUUAGAUACCCUGGUAGUCCGCACGGUAAACGAUGGAUGCCCGCUUUUCGGUCAUAGGACCGUGAGGNCAAGUGAAAACAUUAAGCAUCCCACCUGGGGAGUACGCCGGCAACGGUGAAACUCAAAGGAAUUGACGGGGGCCCGCACAAGCGGAGGAACAUGUGGUUUAAUUCGAUGAUACGCGAGGAACCUUACCCGGGCUUGAAUUGCAGAUGAAGGAUCCAGAGAUGGUGACGNCCUUCGGGGCAUCUGUGAAGGUGCUGCAUGGUUGUCGUCAGCUCGUGCCGUGAGGUGUCGGCUCAAGUGCCAUAACGAGCGCAACCCCUCUCUUCAGUUGCCAUCAGGUAAAGCUGGGCACUCUGGAGACACUGCCACCGCAAGGUGUGAGGAAGGUGGGGAUGACGUCAAAUCAGCACGGCCCUUACGUCCGGGGCUACACACGUGUUACAAUGGGGGGUACAGCAAGCCGGCUGCCCGCAAGGUCAGUCCAAUCAAGAAAGCCCUCCUCAGUUCGGACUGGGGUCUGCAACCCGACCCCACGAAGCUGGAUUCGCUAGUAAUCGCGCAUCAGCCAUGGCGCGGUGAAUACGUUCCCGGGCCUUGUACACACCGCCCGUCAAGCCAUGAAAGCCGGGGGUGCCUGAAGUCCGUGACCGCAAGGAUCGGCCUAGGGCAAAACUGGUAAUUGGGGCUAAGUCGUAACAAGGUAG
rnacentral:rRNA from 1 species